GACGAACGCUGGCGGCGUGCUUAACACAUGCAAGUCGAACGGAAAGGCCUUUUCGGAGGUACUCGAGUGGCGAACGGGUGAGUAACACGUGGGUGAUCUGCCCUGCACUCUGGGAUAAGCCUGGGAAACUGGGUCUAAUACCGGAUAGGACCGCACUUUAGUGUGUGUGGUGGAAAGUUUUUUCGGUGUAGGAUGAGCCCGUGGCCUAUCAGCUUGUUGGUGGGGUAAUGGCCUACCAAGGCGGCGACGGGUAGCCGGACUGAGAGGUUGGUCGGCCACAUUGGGACUGAGAGACGGCCCAGACUCCUACGGGAGGCAGCAGUGGGGAAUAUUGCACAAUGGGCGCAAGCCUGAUGCAGCGACGCCGCGUAGGGGAUGACGGCCUUCGGGUUGUAAACUCCAUUCGCCAGGGACGAAGCGUUUUGUGACGGUACCUGGAGAAGAAGCACCGGCUAACUACGUG
rnacentral:rRNA from 1 species